rfam:Zymoseptoria brevis strain Zb18110 contig4137, whole genome shotgun sequence.
AUUCCUCCACUAACAUCUCGCAGUUCUUUUCAGUUUAAUCUCUGAAACGUCACUACGGUGACAUUCUAUGAUUAUACUCAUUUUUGGAAUCAGCCUGGUGGCCGCUGAGCUUGCUCAUGUCACUGGGCACCGUGUCGCCAGUAUAGCACUGCCUCUGGCUGACGCGAAUCACU